rnacentral:tRNA from 1 species
UUCGCGCAACCCGGUGGCGCGGAAGCCGAUCUGGCUCAGGGCCGGGCAGUCCCCGAGCGCGGGCGGCAUCCGUUCGAAGCGGUUGUUCGAAC